rnacentral:rRNA from 1 species
GUGGGGAAUCUUCCGCAAUGGACGAAAGUCUGACGGAGCAACGCCGCGUGAACGAUGACGGCCUUCGGGUUGUAAAGUUCUGUUAUACGGGACGAAUGGUACGACGGCCAAUACCCGUCGUAAGUGACGGUACCGUAAGAGAAAGCCACGGCUAACUACGUGCCAGCAGCCGCGGUAAUACGUAGGUGGCAAGCGUUGUCCGGAAUUAUUGGGCGUAAAGGGCGCGCAGGCGGCGUCGUAAGUCGGUCUUAAAAGUGCGGGGCUUAACCCCGUGAGGGGACCGAAACUGCGAUGCUAGAGUAUCGGAGAGGAAAGCGGAAUUACUAGUGUAGCGGUGAAAUGCGUAGAUAUUAGGAGGAACACCAGUGGCGAAAGCGGCUUUCUGGACGACAACUGACGCUGAGGCACGAAAGCCAGGGGAGCAAACGGGAUUAGAAACCCGGGUAGUCC